rnacentral:tRNA from 1 species
UUACAUACUAGCUCAUUUGGUAGAGCGAUCGACCUAUAAUCGAUUGGUAGUGGGUUCAAAUCCCACGUAUAACC